rfam:Capsicum annuum cultivar Zunla-1 chromosome 5, whole genome shotgun sequence
UGAUGAUGGUGAGGGCAAUUUCUGAGCAUACCCUUAAAUCUCUCCUAAGCUUGGUAGAGAUUCCCUCCUUAUUUCUAUCUGAAACUCAAGAUCUCGCUCCUCAAGCA